rnacentral:lncRNA from 1 species
UGCAUGGUAGGUGGAGCCGGAUGAAGGAUGUCCAACAUGUCGGCGAAACGAAGUUGAAUUGUUUCGGGCAUUGCUAUCAAUCCUUCAGGAUUUGUUUAUAUGUACGCAUAAUUUUGAUGAAAUUGUACUAUGAUGCUAUGAAGGUUUCAACUCUGGUUCCCGCAGGAAAAAAAAGGUUUCAACUUAGGAUUCAUGUGUCUUGCCUCGAGAUUAUCUCGUUACAACAUUCCAUCAAAUACAAACGAAACUACCAUGGCUAAUGCAUCUCCAUAGUUCGCAGAUCAGCACCAAUAUUCACAUCACAACUGAAGACAAAGUUGUGAGAAGGUGUACAAAUAAAGAAAAAAUUAUAAUUGAUCGAUGUUGUUCGUAGGCAUGGCUCCAUUUCCUUGGCACAGUGUUCAUUGCUUGGCAGCUAGUUUCACCCAGCUCUUUAGCCAAAAAUAGGUGUAUGAAGGACACCACAAACCGAUCAUUUUGUGCAGCUCCACUAAAAUCGGGCGGACCAUCCCUGUUUGCAAAGAUAUCCAGUCAGUGUGAUUACAAUAAUAGUGGAACUAGAUGAUGAAACAUAACACACAUAAAUAGAAGCCGAUCACCUCUACGAUCUCUCUUUAGGACUAACUUCUUGUUGGAGAAGAUUAGGCACGGAGUUGAUGAGGAGGAUAGCAAAACCAAUCUCCCUUUCCGCAGUCCCACAGAAAUGUAAAAACGUUGCCUGUGUGACAUUUUGGCAGAACUGCAUAAAACACUCUUCAGAAAAGUGAUUUGUGCAGUUCACCAAAAGGUCGCAAUAGCAACAAGGUGAAAAUGGAUAGCCAUGUUUGCAAAAGGAGGUCGAAAGGAAACAAUUAUUGCCCAAUAACACGAGUUGAAGACACAUACGCCGACAAAAAAGAAGCAUGUUCCAUGUAAAAAGGGAAAGAUAGCACAUGGUGGUUUAUCAAAAAUGGUUUGAGGACGAGAUUGCAAGAUGGAAACUACGCCGGCCGAGAUACGAUUUAAGCAAACAACUAAAGAAGAUCCACAUGCAGCAACGUGGGAAGAUGGGCAGUGGAGCAAGGCCGGAGGAAGCUGUACCUGAGGGUCGUCAGGAUGUUACUAGGAGGGCGCCGGCGGCCGGGAUCUGCCCAUACUGCGGCAGCGAGCAAGUGGCGAAGGCCCUACCGCGCCGGAGCUUGGUCAGAGAGAACGGCGGGUACCGCAGAUCGGGACGAGCUGCCUCAACGCCAUCGAACGGAGAGACGAUGCACAUCCUCCCUUUCCGUCGGCGGACGGGAUGCGGUCGGAUCACUGACCAACGCUGAGAGAGAGAGGCCAUGGCGGCCUUGUGUGAGAUUGUGUGACGAGACUCACGAGAGACAAACCCAUUUUUCCAUUUUCCCCACGGCAAUCGUUUUAUAUUCUAGGCGUGGUACCCGACCCUCCUUCGAGUAAACAACCGCUACACACGUCAAAUUAUCACGUGGGCUGCCUUUUCAUACAGAAACAAACUCCACCAUGUACCCGCGCGGGUGUGGCCGGGAACGAGACGUGAGUAUGUGCGUCCUGCGUGCACUUCUUCUUUAGGUGCAGGUAUGUACGUGGGUGGGUGUGAGAGAGAUGGUUUGUGCGAAACAGAGGCAAUGUGUUGAUGACAUCUCAAUCAGAAAAACAUAACAUAUGCAAUGUGUGUGAAACAGAGUCAUGGACGUGAGAUAUCGAUAGAAUUGAAAACAUGGAUGAAGUGUGUGGCUGCGCGAUCGAUAAAUAGUGCCAUCGAAUUUGUGUUUGCCCCGUCAAAGAUACAGGGCGGCUGGCCUACUGGAAUUUGAGAGGGCAGAGGUGCAGUUCUUCUCCGUGGCAUGGAUACCUACCUAGAACAUUCGACUAUCGGUGUGUGGGGGGGGAGAGAUCGGUUGACUAGUAUAUGUGUGGGGAAGGAGAGAGACCUAGCUAUGUAUUGAGGAAGAUCGAUCGACAUCCAUGGAUAUGUGUAGCAGAGGAAUAAGGUUGGGAAAAAUACAAAGGUAGAGCGUCGGAGGGUUGGUGGUGGAGUGGCGUCUCACAAUGGUGGGAGAGGCCUGCUAGACAAACGGAGGGUAUGAGUGCAAUAUCAAUAAGAGAGGGUGGGGGAUGUCUGUCUGUCUAUGCACGUGCGUGUGAGAGACGGGUCGAGAGGUAUUCAAGGAUGAUGAGGGGAAAAGAUAUGGUUGUGGUAAGCAUGCGUAACUACAUAGGAAGAUCAACCAUCGUGUGUCCGAGAAAAGGAGAGACAUAACUAGCGAGGUAAGUGUAUCGGUACUUGGUGAAAACGAAUUAUAGUCGACCUGGCUAUAUGUAGGGAGAUCAGUUCAUAUACACACCUGCAUGUGUUAGAAGCAAAUAAGGUCCGGAGAGGCAGACAGGGGGAGAGGGUGUGGCUAGGAGGUGGUGCGAGAGGCCUACCAUGUCGAGGGGGGAGGAGUGUGCGAGCAUGUGAUUAAUGAAAAGAGGGGCAGGAGUGUGCACCUGCGUGGAAUCGUAUUGGACAUAUGGGGGCAUGGACGGUGAGAAGAGAAGAGGGGAAGUAUAUAUGUGUUUGUUGUAGGCACACUUCGCUAGAGAGGUAUAUCGACCGGUGUGUGCCAGGAAGAAGGAGCCGGGGGCCUACACACACCGCUAGUGGACGACCUAAAGAGAAAUAAUGAACGUGCGCGAUGGAGGGGACGCUAAGGGUGUGUGAGGGGGGCGGGCGUGUGCAUGCACGAUAGAAAGUUAGCGCUAGCUAGCUACAAAUAGAAGAGGAUCGUGAAGGUGUAAAAGACGAACAAACAUCAUAAUUCAUUAUAAAAAGGUGGAUACAGAUACUUGAAGAAGAUAUCAUAAUGUAGAACAUUGAUUAUAAUUUGGGCUAAUGUGUGGCUUUUGCAACUCAGGUCUAAAUACUUGUCAUAACGUAGGGGGCGGGGCACUAUACUUUGUGUGAUAAACACGGUGUAUGUAUGGAACAUGGUUUAGAUUAUGAAUAUAUAGUUAGUACAUCAAAUGUACUAUUAUUUGGAAUCAACAUCAAGUGUAUUCAAAAAAUAGAAUUCGAGUUCAUGUAGUACACAUAGUUCAUAUCUAUCUCUAUAGUAAUCAUGUGGUGUGUUAUUAAGGUAAUACACGAAUGAUGGUUGAAGUUCGCAACAAUCAUGAUUGUAGAUUCUUAUUGAAAUAGAGAAACGAAUUCAAAUUUAGUUCGAAUUGCAGCGGUAGUAUAGACAUUUGGAAUGCACUAAAAUGUUGGUAUGAGUAGGUUACAUGCAUUAUACAGCAAGCGAAAAAAUUUAAUCGGACAUAACAUGGAUUCAUACUCCCUCCUUCCAUCUAUAUAGGGUGUAAUGAGAUUUUUAAGACCGCCUUUGACUAUUGACAAGAUUAAUAGUAUAUGACAUGCACAAUGUGAAAGUUAUAUCAUUGACAAGAUUAAUACGUACCAAAUCAAUUCACAGACGAAGUUAACGGUGUGCUUUGUGUAAGUUGCAUGUCAUAUAUCAUUGCUCUAAUAUUUGGUCAAAGUUAGCAUCGAAAAACGCAUUAGGCCCUAUAUAGAUGGAAGGAGGGAGUAGCUUUGAAUAGCAUUUGUACAGUAAAACGGGGCAAGACUCUCUCUUUGUGUGGUGUGAAUAGUUUUAUUUUUUUUCGUUUUCUUUUUGGUUGAGGGAAGUGUGAAUUGAUUUGGUACGUACAAGUACAAUAUUAGUACACGUUAGGCUUGUCCCUAAAAUUCAAUCCGCGUCUUGUUAUAUCCCGAAAAUUCAGAUAUCGUGCUCCCAAAAGUGGCGCCUUCACAACCCGCGCCUUGCUAUCCCGAAAUUACAACGCGCGUGAAAACUCCCUCCAGCUGCCAAAUCCCGACACGCGAAAUCCCCCUUCUAACCCUGAGCCAAAAGGGCCGCUAGUUCAAAUCGGUGGGGGGUACUUUUGUAACACACCCUACAUUUUGGACAAGCGCGUCCCUAAGUCAUGCUUCACCCCCUCCCAGCGCCCCCUUUUCGCCAUUCAAAAUCCUAGGCCGCCAUAACCUCUUCGCUCCAGCCGCGAAACCCCACCCUCCUCCGUCCGCCACGUCACUGCUGCCCAGCCGGAGCCUCUUCCCCGACGACGUCGUCCACCGCAACAGCUCGACGUCCCUCGUCCACCUCCCCGGAUGAGGAUCCGUCGUCCAUCUCGCCGUCCAGCCUGUUCAGCCGCCCCGUCCUCCACCUCCAAGGAGCUACUCCGACGAUCGCCUCGUCUAUCGCGGGUCGCGGCUGCUCCAUCCCCACAGCGCCGCCUUAACUUGCUCCACCGGAACCGCAGCAUCCUCACCGACUCCUCAGACGAAGCCGAGGCCUACUCGGUGCCACCAAAGAGGUUGUACACUCAUCGCAUCGCACCUUCUCCUUAACUCGACCUCCCGGCACCGACGGUGCUCCAUCCUGCACCCCCAUGGAGCAGCUACCUUGAAGCCGGCGCCGCAGGCGACAUCUCCAUGGCGGCUCUCCCCUAGUGCGAGGCCCCUUCGGCGGCGGCGGCCAUACCAGCCGGAUCUGCUGCUGCUGCUCUGGCUCUCGCUCGCUCGCUUGCGUUGUUGCUGCUGCUCGGGCUCUAGCUCGAUCGCUCGCUCGCCCAGCUGUUGCUGCUGCUCUCCCCCUCGCUCGUGCUGCUGCUCUGGUCCGAUUAAGCCACACUUCAGUCGACUGAAUCGACUCUUGGGUCAGUCGAUUUUCAGGGGUUGGGGGGGGGCUCGCCGGAGUUAAGGAAGAACCACCCGCAGCGGGGACGGGGGCUCGCCGGAGAGGUACCCCACUAUCUAUCUUAGGGUUCAGGGUGGGGGCGGGGGGCCUAGAGGGCUGGUCGGGGCGGCGGUGGCGAGUUGUUUCGGGGCAGCGAGGCGGCGCUGGGGCCGGCGGUUCGGCCGGUGGUGGCUGGUGGAUCAGGGGGGUGCAGGUUGAAGAUAAAUUGCAGGCCCUCCCUCAACUACAUGUCAAGUGCCUCUCUGCUACCAUUGCGUUCAGUUUCGAUAGUAGCAUUCAGAUUCCACAGUAAAUUUCAGUUUCGAUAGUUAAGUUCAGAGUCAACAGUUUUUACCUCAUCUGUUGUAGUCAGGUGGUUUUUGGUGAUGUUAAUUUUACAUCCAUUUUACAUCAUAUAUUGGAGAUGCUAUUAGAAUCCCACUUGAGAUUGACGAUGUCUGUCUUGUGCUGCUUCAGCCUUGACGUCUUACGGCUCACCGGAGCUGCUCCAAUAAUAGAACGAUUCAUCACAAUAGAGCAGUGCCCUGGACGCCGUCUAUAGAUUCCUUAGAUGUUCCUCCACACCUCCGACAGCCACCUCUGCCUCAACUGCUUCAGCGACCAACCCAGUGAUGCUGAGGUCGACACGGCUAUGGCAAAGAGGUUGUACACUUGUUGCAUCACUUAUUACUAUACAUUCACGUCAGUCCAUUAGGGCUAUUUUGGUUCAACGGAAAAACAUAGCAAUAGGGAAUUUUCCAAUGGCACUCUACUAUUCAAUUAUUCAUGCAAUAAACUACUCUUCCUGUAAAUCAGCCAUUUGGGUGGGAGAUGGAAAAAUCUGGAGUGGAAACAAGGCCUUCAGAGCAGACAGUGCUACCUGUCGAAGCAGAUCUCUUGUUGGGUCCCGAUAGCUCCUCAGAGAUGGAUUCAGAGAUAGAUGACCAGUCCUAUUCCCCUACUGAGGUGUAUGCUCUAACUUGGCACGGUUAUACUGCUCAUAUCAUGCAUACGGUGUCUUGCAUUGCAUAGUUUAGACAUCAUAUACACAAUAUUCAACACCAUGUUCUUAGUUCAGGCAUCAUAUCGAAUGCCCUCUGUUUAGCAUAUAAAUCACAUAUGUGAAUUAAAUGAUGCGAUCCUGAUUACUUAGAUAACAUGUAGGUGAAUUAUGUCAUGUGAUCCUGUUUAGUUAUUCAUCAUAUCUUUGAAUUAUGUUAUGCUAUGCUAUCCAGUUUAGAUAGACAUCAGAUAUGUGAAAUUAUGUCAUACUAUCCAUUUUAGUUAAACAAUAUACAUGUCAACUAUUUCAUGCCCUCUUUUUUCCACACUUUCUAUUGUAUCUGUCUCUCAUACAAUGUCUGUACAUUCAACUAUGUUUCCUGUUUAUCAGCCAUUUGAAUUGGAGCGGCUGAUGCCAGUAUCUAGCGGAAUAAAAACAUGGUCUUCAAAUAAAACAGUGCUACCUCUUGGUGGAGAUAGCAACCCGGUUGUACAUGCACAAGAACCAGCCCUACCACACAUAACCCAAACUCUCGCAGAUUGUACCCCUACUGCGAUGGACAAAGAACCAACUUCACCCAAUCUAACCCCAACUCCAGCUGCUAGUAACCCAGUUCCUGUUGACACAACACCAUCUCCACCAUAGAGCUCCCAAACAAGAGCAGUUAGUAAGGCAGCUCUAGUGCCCAAAGGGCCAGUACUAUCACGGCGAACCCCAACUCCACCAGUUAGUACGCCUAUUCCUAUGGAGGAAGCACAACCAGCCAGUCGUAGUUUAGCAUCUAUCGCAUUUGAUGUUGUUAAAUCGUAUGUGUGUAUCUUCCCAUCUUGGAAAUAUUAUACUGAAGAUGAAGGAAAAUGCCAGUUGCAGGUGUUUGUCCAGGAGUUAUGUGUAAGUAAUGUUAUUCGUGGCAAUUACUUUGCUUCGUCCCAUACAUCCUACCUCCAUGAUGGUUAUAAUACAACAAAUUUUUCCCAUUUUUCUCUAUAGAGAAGGACCGAUUUGGAAACUCAGGAUGAGGUAACCUGUGCUAAUACCUCUGCUAUCUUCAAGAAUGCUUGGUGGCAGUAUCGGUAUUACCUGAAGAAAACGUACUUCACCGGCAAAGAAACUCAUCAAAUUACCUUAUGUUCUCCUAAACACAUUUAUUGGACGAUGACUGGGAACGCCAUGUUCUAUACUGGUCCCGAAUCAAGAAGGUGGUAAGGUCUAUGAGCUCAUUUUCUAUUUUUAAGUAUUAUAUCCUUGCGUCUUACUAUACUCUGUUCAUGUAGAACAAGUGCCUAAACCUGAAGAACAACUGUUCUAAUUUAAGAUUCCAUUGCUAUCAUAGUUCAAAAAAGCGCUAGGCGUUAAUUGUGCGUUUUGCCACCGCCUUGCACUUUACUGACCAAAGCGCAUGCUUAUGCGCAGUUAUGCACAGAUUAAGCGUAGUUAUGCGUAAUGCAUUUUACCAACGCCUAGAGCCUAGGCGCGCUUAAGCGCUCACUUAGGCGCGCCUUUUUUAACUACGAUUGCUUUGCUCUUGUAUCACUGUAUUUACUGAUACAAACUUAUUUUUAAAUUGAAGGAUCCAAUCGAAACUCCAAUGGCACAUCAGGUAUGUUCACGCAUGUUUCUUUAACAGGUUUGCUCUUAUCAAUAGCUCUUUUGAUUUCAAUUUCAAUUGUGUAUACAGUUGACUUUCAUAUCAUGCACAUUACUAGCAUCACAACAGAGCCAAUAGUGUUGUUGUACAUGUAGACCCGUGGUACCCAUCUGAAAUCUUGUUGUACCGUGUAGUUUCCCAUGCUUUGUAUUCUUUCACUGCUACUUUGUCUUGAACUAAUAUGAUUUGAACCGUGUCUCUAUUUUGAUUUGGCAAGACAAUGCAGUGACCAUAGGACAUAGAUAUAUGUUUGUUUGAUGCUUUUAUUAUGUACUAGUACUUGGCAAUAGAAGACUUGGUAGUUUAAUCCUGUCCACCUUACUAAUGAACUGGUUCACCGAAAUGAGUUUCAUAUACUAGUAUAUACUAAACUUGUUAUGUGUCUACUUGUUUCUUCUUUUAGAAUGCUGACAGAAUAUUGGGGAAGAGUGCCUUAUUAAGCAAUGGUAAAGGAAGUAAUGCAGAUAAAGUUCAGAAUAGUGACACAUCCUUGUUGGUCUCCAACAAAGCUGAUAAAAUAGCUAAGGAAGACUAUCUUGAAGACAGCGAGACAACCCCAAAGUCAUGUCUUGGUUUAGUGUUCGAGUUACUGGCCACUACCGCUUGCACAAGCUAUUCAAACUCACUGUCUAAAUCAGUUCGGUUUCUUGAGUCUCAACUACAAGAUGAAAGACAUCGAUCAGCUGUGCUGCGACAAGAAGCGGAAGGACUGCGAAAGUCCCUGGAGCAUUCAGAUGCAUACUUUCAGGUGCAAUAGCAAGCGUUGGAGGAUUUUAGCGCCAAACGGGACAAAGCUAAUCAGCUUGCUAAGCUUAUUGCCAGCAUGGUGGAUACCCAGGAUAACGUUGUUGGAAAUAUGCCCUAGAGGCAAUAAUAAAUUAGUUAUUAUUAUUAUAUUUCUUUGUUCAUGAUAAUCGUUUAUUAUCCAUGCUAUAAUUGUAUUGAUAGGAAACUCAGAUACAUGUGUGGAUACAUAGACAACACCAUGUCCUUAGUAAGCAUCUAGUUGACUAGCUCGUUGAUCAAUAGAUGGUUACUGUUUCCUGACCAUGGACAUUGGAUGUUGUUGAUAACGGGAUCACAUCAUUAGGAGAAUGAUGUGAUGGACAAGACCCAAUCCUAAGCCUAGCACAAAGAUCGUGUAGUUCCUAUGCUAAAGCUUUUAUAAUGUCAAGUAUCAUUUCCUUAGACCAUGAGAUUGUGCAACUCCCGGAUACCGUAGGAAUUCUUUGGGUGUACCAAAUGUCACAACGUAACUGGGUGGCUAUAAAGGUACGCUAUGGGUAUCUCCGAAAGUGUCUGUUGGGUUGGCACGAAUCGAGAUUGGGAUUUGUCACUCCGGUUAACGGAGAGGUAUCUCUGGGCCCACUCGGUAGGACAUCAUCAUAAUGUGCACAAUGAGACCAAGGGGUUGAUCACGGGAUGAUGUGUUACGGAAUGAGUAAAGAGACUUGCCGGUAACGAGAUUGAACAAGGUAUCGGCAUACCGACGAUCGAAUCUCGGGGAAGUACAAUACCACUAGACAAAGGGAAUUGUAUACGGGAUUGAUCGAAUCCUUGACAUCGUGGUUCAUCAGAUGAGAUCAUCGUGGAACAUGUGGGAGCCAACAUGGGUAUCCAGAUCCGCUGUUGGUUAUUGACCGGAGAACGUCUCGGUCAUGUCUGCAUGGUUCCCGAACCCGUAGGGUCUACACACUUAAGGUUCGAUAACGCUAGUGUUAUAGGGAAUAGAUGUAUGUGGUUACCGAAUGUUGUUCGGAGUCCCGGAUGAGAUCCCGGACGUCACGAGGAGUUCCGGAAGGGUCCGGAGGUAAAGAUUUAUAUAUGGAAAGUUGUUGUUCGGGUUCCGCGAAAAGUUCGGUUUUUUCCGGUAUUGUACCGGGAAGCUUCCGGAAGGUUCCGGAAGAUUCCGGAGGGGUCCGGAGGUCCGGAAAAUGUUCCACCACGUCCAAUACAGCAGCAUGGGCUGUAAGGGGGCGCCCUAGCCUUAAUGGGCCAGGGGCACCAGCCCCCCCAAGGCCCAUGCGCAUGGGAGAGGGGAAACCCUAAAGGGGAGGGCCUCCACUUGACUUGGGAGGCACUCCUCCCCCCCUUGGCCGCCGCCCCCAACCCUAGAUGGGAUCUAGGGGGCGGCCCCCCUCUCUCCCCACCUAUAAAUAGUGGAUGGGUGGGAGGGCAGCCGGCACUAAGUUCUGGCGCAGCCCUCCCCUUCUCCCAAGUCCUCCCCCUCUCCCGCGGUGCUUGGCAAAGCCCUGCAGGAUUGCCACGCUCCUCCAUCACCACCACGCCGUUGUGCUGCUGCUGGAUGGAGUCUUCCUCAACCUCUCCCUCUCUCCUUGCUAGAUCAAGGCAUGGGAGACGUCACCAGGCUGUACGUGUGUUGAACGCCGAGGUGCCGUCCGUUCGGCACUAGGAUCUCCGGUGAUUUAGAUCACGACGAGUAUGACUCCUUCAACCCCGUUCUCUUGAACGCUCCCUCUUAGCGAUCUACAAGGGUAUGUAGAUGCACUCUCCUUCCCCUCGUUGUUGGUUUCUCCAUAUAUAGAUCUUGGUGACACGUAGGAAAAUUUUGAAUUUCUGCUACAUUCCCCAACAGUGGCAUCACGAGCUAGGUCUAUUGCGUAUAUUCUAUGCACAAGUAGAACACAAAGUAGUUGUGGGCGUUGAUUUUGUUCAAUAUGCUUACCGUUACUAGUCCAAUCUUGAUUCAGCGGCAUUGUGGGAUGAAGCGGCCCGGACCGACCUUACACGUACACUUAUGUGAGACAGGUUCCACCGACUGACAUGCACUUGUUGCAUAAGGUGGCUAGCGGGUGCCAGUCUCUCCCACUUUAGUCGGAUCGGAUUCGAUGAAAAGGGUCCUUAUGAAGGGUAAAUAGCAAUUGGCAUAUCACGUUGUGGCUUUUGCGUAGGUAAGAAACGUUCUUGCUAGAAACCCAUAGCAGCCACGUAAAACAUGCAAACAACAAUUAGAGGACGUCUAACUUGUUUUUGCAGGGUAUGCUAUGUGAUGUGAUAUGGCCAAGAAGAAUGUGAUGAAUGAUAUGUGAUGUAUGAGAUUGAUCAUGUUCUUGUAAUAGGAAUCACGACUUGCAUGUCGAUGAGUAUGACAACCGGCAGGAGCCAUAUGAGUUGUCUUUAUUUAUUGUAUGACAUGUGCGUCAUUGAACAACGCCAUGUAAUUACUUUACUUUAUUACUAACCGGUAGCCAUAGUAGUAGAAGUAAAAAGUUGGCGAGACAACUUCAUGGAGACACGAUGAUGGAGAUCAUGGUGUCAUGUCGGUGACGAUGAUGGAGACACGAAGAUGGAGAUCAAAAGGAGCAAAAUGAUAUUGGCCAUAUCAUGUCACUUUUUGAUUGCAUGUGAUGUUUAUCAUGUUUAUGCAUCUUAUUUGCUUAGAACGACGGUAGUAAAUAAGAUGAUCCCUCACUGAAAUUUCAAGAAAGUGUUCCCCUUAACUGUGCACCGUUGUGAAAGUUCGUCGUUUCGAAGCACCACGUGAUGAUCGGGUGUGAUAGAUUCUUGUUGGAAAUAUGCCCUAGAGGCAAUAAUAAAAGGAUUAUUAUUAUAUUUCCUUGUUCAUGAUAAUUGUCUUCAUGCUAUAAUUGUAUUAUCCAGAAAUCGUAAUACACGUGUGAAUACAUAGACCACAAUAUGUCCCUAGUGAGCCUCUAGUUGACUAGCUCGUUGAUCAACAGAUAGUCAUGGUUUCCUGACUAUGGACAUUAGAUGUCAUUGAUAACGGGAUCACAUCAUUAGGAGAAUGAUGUGAUGGACAAGACCCAAUCCUAAGCAUAGCACAAGAUCGUGUAGUUCGUUUUGCUAGAGCUUUUCCAAUGUCAAGUAUCUUUUCCUUGGACCAUGAGAUCGUGUAACUCCCGGAUACCGUAGGAGUGCUUUGGGUGUACCAAAUGUCACAACGUAACUGGGUGACUAUAAAGGUGCACUACAGGUAUCUCCGAAAGUGUCUGUUGGGUUGACACGGAUCGAGACUGGGAUUUGCCACUCCGUAUGACGGAGAGGUAUCUCUGGGCCCACUCGGUAAUGCAUCAUCAUAAUGAGCUCAAAGUGACCAAGUGUCUGGUCACAGGAUCAUGCAUUACGAUACGAGUAAAGUGACUUGCCGGUAACGAGAUUGAACGAGGUAUUGGGAUACCGACGAUCGAAUCUCGGGCAAGUAACAUACCGAUUGACAAAGGGAAUUGUAUACGGGGUUGCUUAAAUCCUCGACAUCGUGGUUCAUCCGAUGAGAUCAUCGAGGAAUAUGUGGAAGCCAACAUGGGUAUCCAGAUCCCGCUGUUGGUUAUUGACCGGAGCGCCAUCUCGGUCAUGUCUACAUGUCUCCCGAACCCGUAGGGUCUACACACUUAAGGUCCGGUGACCCUAGGGUUGUAUGAAUAUGAGUAUGCAGCAAACCGAAAGUUGUUCGGAGUCCCGGAUGAGAUCCUGGACGUCAAGAGGAGUUCCAGAAUAGUCCAGAGGUAAAGAUUUAUAUAUAGGAAGUGCAGUUUUGGCCAUCGGGAGAGUUUCAGGGGUCACCGGCAUUAUACCGGGACCACCGGAAGGGUCCCGGGGGUCCACCGGGUGGGGCCACCUAUCCCGGAGGGCCCCGUGGGCUGAAGUGGGGAGGGGACCAGCCCCUGGUGGGCUGGUGCGCCCCCCUUGGGCCCCCCUACGCCUAGGGUUGGAAACCGUGGGGUGGGGGGCGCCUCCACUUGCCUUGGGGGGCACUCCACCCCCUGGCCGCCGCCCCCCCUUGGAGAUGCCAUCUCCUAGGGCCGGCGCCCCCCCCCCCCAGGGGGCCUAUAUAAAGGAGGGGGAGGGAGGGCAGCCGCACCCUAAAGUUUUGGCGCCUCCCUCUCCCCUGCUACACCUCUCCCUCUCGCAGAAGCUCGGCGAAGCUCUGCCGGAACCCUGCUGCAUCCACCAGCACGCCGUCAUGCUGCUGGAUCUUCAUCAACCUCUCCUUCCCCCUUGCUGGAUCAAGAAGGAGGAGACGUCAUCCGCUCCGUACGUGUGUUGAACGCGGAGGUGCUGUCCGUUCGGCACUUGGUCCUCGGUGAUUUGGAUCACGACGAGUACGACUCCCUCAACCCCGUUCUCUUGAACGCUUUCGCUCGCAAUCUACAAAGGUAUGUAGAUGCACUACUAUCACUCGUUGCUAGAUGAACUCAUAGAUGGAUCUUGGUGAAACCGUAGGAAAAUUUUUAUUUUCUGCAAUGUUCCCUAACAAUUCUAACGUUCACAUACAACGGGUGUAAGCCAGAUUUACACAUGCGAAACACUUAGGUUGACUUGACGAGCCUAGCAUGUACAGACAUGGCCUCGGAACACAAGAGACCGAAAGGUCGAGCAUGAGUCGUAUGGUAGAUACGAUCAACAUGAAGAUGUUCACCGAUGAUGACUAGUCCGUCUCACGUGAUGAUCGGACAUGACCUAGUUGACUCGGAUCGUGUAAUCACUUAGAUGACUAGAGGGAUGUCUAUCUGAGUGGGAGUUCAUAAGAUGAACUUAAUUAUCCUGAACAUAGUCAAAAGAUUCUUGCAAAUUAUGUCGUAGCUCGCGCUUUAGUUCUACUGUUUUAGAUAUGUUCCUAGAGAAAAUUUAGUUGAAAGUUGAUAGUAGCAAUUAUGCGGACUGGGUCCAUAAACUGAGGAUUGUCCCCGUUGCUUCGUAGAAGGCUUAUGUCCUUAAUGCACCGCUCAGUGUGCUGAACCUCGAACGUCGUGUGUGGAUGUUGCGAAAAUUUGACAUACACGUUUUGAUAACUACGUGAUAGUUCAGUUAAACGGUUUAGAGUUGAGGCACCAAAGACGAUUUCAAAACGUUGCGGAACAUAUGAGAUGUUUCGAGGGCUGAAAUUGGGAUUUCAGGCUCGUGCCCACGUCAAGAGGUAUGAGACCUCCGACGAUUUUCUUAGCCUGCAAACUAAGGGAGAAAAGCUCAAUCGUUGAGCUUGUGCUCAGAUUGUCUAAGUACAACAAUCACUUGAAUCGAGUGGGAGUUAAUCUUCCAGAUGAGAUAGUGAUGUUUCUCCAAAGUCAUUGUCACCAAGCUACUAGAGCUUCGUGAUGAACUACAACAUAUCAGGGAUAGAUAUGAUGAUCCUUGAAGUAUUCACGAUGUUUGACACCGCGAAAGUAGAAGUCAAGUAGGAGCAUCAAUUGUUGAUGGUUAGUAAAACCACUAGUUUCAAGAAGGGCAAGGGCAAGAAGGGAUACUUCAUGAAACAGCAAAACAGUUGCUGCUCUAGUGAAAACCCAAGGUUGAACCCAAACCCGAGACUAAGUGCUUCUGUAAUGAGAGGAACGGACACUAAAGCAGAACCACCCUAGAUACUUGGUAGAUAAGAAGGCAGGCAAGGUCGACGGAAGUAUAUUGGAUAUACAUGUGUACUUUACUAGUACUCCUAGUAGCACCAGGGGAUUAGAUACCGGUUCGGUUGCUAAGUGUUGGUAACUCGAAAUAAAAGCUACGGAAUAAACAGAGACUAGCUAAAGGUGAGCUGACGAUAUGUGUUGGAAGUGUUUCCAAGGUUGAUGUGAUCAAGCAUCGCACGCUCCCUCUACCAUCGAGAUUGGUGUUAAACCUAAAUAAAUGUUAUUUGGCGUUUGUGUUGAGCAUAGACAUGAUUGGAUUAUGUCUAUCGCAAUACAGUUAUUCAUUUAAAGAGAAUAAUGGUUACUCUGUUUAUUUGAAUAAUACCUUCAAUGGUCUUGCACCUAAAAUGAAUGGUUUAUUGAAUCUCGAUCGUAGUGAUACACAUAUUCAUGCCAAAAGAUAUAAGAUAGUAAUGAUAGUACCACAUACUUGUGGCACUGAGUCAUAUUGGUAUAAAAUGCAUGAAGAAGCUCCAUGUUGAUGGAUCUUUGGACUCACUCGUUCUGAAAAGUUUGAGACAUGCGAACCAUGUCUAUUGGUGUAUAUGCAUGAAGAAACUCCAUGCAAAUGGACCGUUUGGACUCACUUGAUUUUGAAUCACUUGAGACAUGCAAAUCAUACCACAUGGGCAAGAUGACUGAAAGCCUCGUUUUCAGUAAAAUGGAACAAGAAAGCAACUUGUUGGAAGUAAUACAUUUUGAUGUAUGCGGUCCAAUGAGUGUUGAGGCACGCAGUGGAUAUCGUUAUGUUCUUACUUCACGGAUGAUUUGAGUACAUACUGAGUAUAUUUACUUGAUGAAACACAAGUCUGAAUUAUUGAAUGGUUCAAGUAAUUUCAGAGUGAAGUUGAAAAUCAUCAUGACAAGAGGAUAAAAUGUCUAUGAUAUGAUCAUAGAGAUGAGUGUCUGAGUCACGAGCUUUGGCACGCAAUUAAGACAUUGUGCAAAUUGUUUCACAAUUAAUACCGCCUGGAACACCAUAGUGUGAUGGUGUGUUCGAACAUCAUAGUUGCAGCCUAUUGGAUAUGGUGCGUACCAUGAUGUCUCUUAUCGAAUUACCACUAUCGUUCAUGGGUUAGGCAUUAGAGACAACCGCACUCACUUUAAUAGGGCACCACGUAACUCCGUUGAGACGACACCGUUUGAACUAUGGUUUGGAGAAAUCUAAGUUGUCGUUUCUUAAAAGUUUGGGGCUGCGACGCUUAUGUGAAAAAGUUUCAGGUUGAUAAGCUCGAACCCAAAGCGGAUAAAUGUAUCUUCAUAGGACACCCAAAACAGUUGGGUAUACCUCCUAUCUCAGAUCCGGAAGCAAAAUAGAUUGUUUCUAGAAACGGGUCCUUUCUCGAGAAAAGUUUCUCUCGAAAGAAUUGAGUGGGAGGAUGGUGGGGACUUGAUGAGGUUUUUGAACCGUCACUUCAACUAGUCUGUAGCAGGGCACAGGAAGUUGUUCCUGUGGCACCUACACCAAUUGAAGUAGAAGCUUAUGAUAGUGAUCAUGAAACUUCGGAUCAAGUCACUACCAAACCUCGUAGGUCGACAAGGAUGUGUACUGCUUCAGAGUGGUACGUAAUCCUGUCUUGAAGGUCAUGUUGCUAGACAACAAUGAACCUACGAGCUAUGAAGAAGCGAUGGUGGGCCCAUGUUCCGACAAAUGGUUAGAAGCCAUGAAAUCCGAGAUAGGAUCCAUGUAUCAAAACAAAGCAUGUACUUUGAUGGACUUGCCCGAUGAUCGGCAAGCCAUUGAGAUAAAUGGAUCUUUACGGUAAUGUCACCGUCUAUGAAGCUCGACUUGUGGCGAAGAGUUUUUCACAAGUUCAAGGAAGUUGACUACGAUGAGAUUUUCUCAUCCAUAGCAAUGCUUAAGUCCGUCGGAAUCAUCUUAGCAUUAGUUGCAUUUAUGAAAUCUGCCAAAUGGAUGUCAAAACGAGUUUCCUUACCAGUUUUCGUAAGGAAAGGUUGUAUGCGAUACAAUCAGAAAGGUUUUGUCGAUCCUAAGGAUGCUAAAAGGUAUGCUAGCUCCAGCGAUCCUUCCAUGGACUGGAGUAAGCAUCUCGGAGUUGGAAUGUACGCUUUGAUGAGAUGAUCAAAGAUUUUGGAUUUAUACAAAGUUUAUGAGAAACUUGUAUUUCCAAAGAAGUGAGUGGGAGCACUAUAGAAUUUCUGAUGAGUAUAUGUUGUUGACGUAUUGUUGAUCAGAAAUGAUGUAGAAUUUCUGGAAAGCAUAUAGGGUUAUUUGAAAAGUGUUUUUUAAUAGAAAACCUAGAUUAAGCUACUUGAACAUCGAGCAUCAAGAUCUAUGAGGAUAGAUCAAAAACGCUAAAUGGUACUUUCAAAUGAGCACAUACCUUGACAUGAUCUUGAAGGUGUUCAAGAUGGAUUAGUCAAAGAAGGAGUUCUUGCCUGAGUUGUAAGGUAUGAAGUUAAGACUUAAAGCUCGACCACGGCAGAAGAGAGAGAAAGGACGAAGGUCGUCCCCUAUGCUUCAGACGUAGGCUCUAUAGUAUGCUAUGCUGUGUACCGCACCGAAAGUGUGCCUUGCCAUGAGUCUGGCAAAGGGGGUACAAGAGUGAUCCAGGAAUGGAUCAUUCAACAGCGGUCAAAAUUGUCCUUGGAGUAAAUAAGGACAUGUUUCUCGUUUAUGGAGGUGAUAAAGAGUUCGGCGUAAAGGGUUACGUUGAUGCAAGCUUUAACACCUAUCCGAAUGACUCUGAGUAGCAGACCGGAUACGUAUAGUGGAGCAACCAUUUGGAAUAGCUCCAAGUGGAGCGUGGAAGCAGCAUUUACAAUAUGACCUAGAGAUUUGCGAAGUACAUACGGAUCUGAAUGUUGCAGACCCGUUGACUAAAACCUCUCUCACAAGCAAACAUGAUCAAACCCCAGAACUCAUUGAGUCUUAAUCACAUGAUGAUGUGACACUAGUAAGCUCUUUGGAUGUUGGUCACAUGGCGAUGUGACCUGUGAGUGUUAAUCACAUAGCGAUGUGAACUAGAUUAUUGACUCUAGUGCAAGUGGGAGACUGUUGGAAAUAUGCCCUAGAGGCAAUAAUAAAUUAGUUAUUAUUAUUAUAUUUCCUUGUUCAUGAUAAUCAUUUAUUAUCCAUGCUAUAAUUGUAUUGAUAGGAAACUCAGAUACAUGUGUGGAUACAUAGACAACACCAUGUCCCUAGUAAGCCUCUAGUUGACUAGCUCGUUGAUCAAUAGAUGGUUACGGUUUCCUGACCAUGGACAUUGGAUGUCAUUGAUAACGGGAUCACAUCAUUAGGAGAAUGAUGUGAUGGACAAGACCCAAUCCUAAGCCUAGCACAAAGAUCGUGUAGUUCGUAUGCUAAAGCUUUUAUAAUCUCAAGUAUCAUUUCCUUAGACCAUGAGAUUGUGCAACUCCCGGAUACCGUAGGAAUGCUUUGGGUGUACCAAACGUCAAAACGUAACUGGGUGGCUAUAAAGGUACGCUACGGGUAUCUCCGAAAGUGUCUGUUGGGUUGGCACGAAUCGAGACUGGGAUUUGUCACUCCGGUUAACGGAGAGGUAUCUCUGGGCCCACUCGGUAGGACAUCAUCAUAAUGUGCACAAUGUGACCAAGGGGUUGAUCACGGGAUGAUGUGUUACGGAACGAGUAAAGAUACUUGCCGGUAACGAGAUUGAACAAGGUAUCGGCAUACCGACGAUCGAAUCUCGGGCAAGUACAAUACCACUAGACAAAGGGAAUUGUAUACGGGAUUGAUCGAAUCCUCGACAUCGUGGUUCAUCCGAUGAGAUCAUCAUGGAACAUGUGGGAGCCAACAUGGGUAUCCAGAUCCCGCUGUUGGUUAUUGACCGGAGAACGUCUCGGUCAUGUCUGCAUGGUUCCUGAACCCGUAGGGUCUACACACUUAAGGUUCGAUGACGCUAGGGUUAUAGGGAAUAGAUGUAUGUGGUUACCGAAUGUUGUUCGGAGUCCCAGAUGAGAUCCCAGACGUCACGAGGAGUUUCGGAAGGGUCCGGAGGUAAAGAUUUAUAUAUGGAAAGUUGUUGUUCGGGUUCCGGGAAAAGUUCGGUUUUUUCCGGUAUUGUACCGGGAAGCUUCCGGAAGGUUCCGGAGGAUUCCGGAGGGGUCCGAAGGUCCGGAAAAUGUUCCACCACGUCCAAUACAGCAGCAUGGGCUGUAAGAGGGCGCCCUAGCCUUAAUGGGCUAGGGGCACCAGCCCCCCCAAGGCCCAUGCGCAUGGGAGAGGGGAAACCCUAAAGGGGAGGGCCUCCACUUGACUUGGGAGGCACUCCUCCCCCCCUUGGCCGCCGCCCCCAACCCUAGAUGGGAUCUAGGGGGGCUGGCCCCCCUCUCUCCCCACCUAUAAAUAGUGGAGGGGUGGGAGGGCAGCCGACACGAAGUUCUGGCGCAGCCCUCCCCUUCUCCCAAGUCCUCCUGCUCUCCUGUGGUGCUUGGCGAAGCCCUGCAGGAUUGCCACGCUCCUCCAUCACCACCACGCCGUUGUGCUGCUGCUGGAUGGAGUCUUCCUCAACCUCUCCCUCUCUCCUUUCUGGAUCAAGGCAUGGGAGACGUCACCGGGUUGUACGUGUGUUGAACACGGAGGUGCCGUCCGUUCGGCACUAGGAUCUCCGGUGAUUUGGAUCACGACGAGUAUGACUCCUUCAACCCCGUUCUCUUGAACGCUUCCGCUUAGCAAUCUACAAGGGUAUGUAGAUGCACUCUCCUUCCCCUUGUUGUUGGUUUCUCCAUAGAUAGAUCUUGGUGACACGUAGGAAAAUUUUGAAUUUCUGCCACGUUCCCCAACAAACGUUUCUUGAGCUCUUCUGAAGUUGUUUCAUUUAUGCUCUUGUUUUGCUGCCGCGUUUAUUUGCACUGGUGGCCAAUUUUGACGGCCAGUGUAUGUAAUAUGCUGCUUUGUUCCCUAUAUUUUCACUGGUGGCGAACUUUGAUGCCCAGUUGAUGUAAUAUGUGUAAUUGCGGUAAUAGGCUAGCCUUAAUUGCUUGCUUAUUUAUUUUCUUAUUGUCUUGUUUAGUUGUUUGCUUGUAGUCACUGCAGUUCUUUUCUGUGUUUUUCUAGUGGCCACAAUAGCCUAUUUUUGGUAACUAGGCCAAAAUAAUCAUGGCAACACAUGGACUGUUGUAACCAUGGGCCUCCUGCAGGCCGUAUGAUCCAUGGGCCUUCGUUCGGCCGUAGGACCAUUGGCCUUCUAUACGGGCCGUAGGAUCCAUCGGCCUUCUGUAUGGGCCUUAGGGGUCAAUGGGCCUUCUACGGUCCGUACUAUCCAUGGGCCUCAUACGGGCCGUAGGAUCCAUGGGCCUUCUACGGGGCGUAUCAUCAUUUCUCCAAUCAUGGGUCGUACUAUUCAUGGACUAUAACGGGCUGUUAAUAGGCCGUAUUUGAUAACUCUAUGAAAACAGCCCAACGUUUUUUUUACAUGAAAAUGGCCCAACGUAUUAACGGUUCGCAAACGGGCCGACUGUAACUACGUGUCACCACGGGUCGUUAAUGGGUAUAAAGUGAUACACUGUUCAUUACGGGCCAGUUUCACCACGGGUCGUUAAUGGGCCAAGAGUUACAAAGGUCCUCAUAUGGGCCGAAAGAAGUCAUGGGCCACACAUGGGCCGGAAGUUAAAAUAGGCUGAAUCAUAUUGGACGGCCCAGAUGACGCUACUGGGCCUAAUUCGGAUAGGGCGUAAUGGGCCCUGGGUUAGCGGGCUGUAAAUGGGCUAUAUGCGAACAGGCCGUUAACAGGCUUUCCGUGGGCCGGCCCGCCACCUUUUAACCAAGUCAAAUGGGCCGGCCUUUUCACAGGAAUGGGCCUCUGUUGGGCCGUGCCACGUGUCGUCGUAUCAUAGGCGCCUUCGGUCCAAUGAGCGGAUGACAUCUGUCCCAACGGUGAGCCGACACGUGUUUCCUCCAGCCAAUGAUGAUUUUACACAUGGAAAAUCCCCAUUGGUCGGGGCUGUUAACGGGUUAUCGGAUCCAAAACCCGACCCGAUAGCUUAACGGCGUUCCGUUACGGUGGAUGCCAUGUGUCAGUCACCCUUGACGAAAGCACUUCUGUGACGCGCAAUUUAUCGUCAUGGAAGUGGACACUUCCGUGAUGAUAAUUUUGGUAAUGUCAUGGAACACUUCUACGACAGCACAGGCAUGACUAUCUUGAUUCUGUCAUGGAUGUACAUGCAUGACAAAAACGCGACCUACUGUGACAAGCACGUAUCAUCACGGAAGUGUAUUUUUUUUGUAGUGAAUGCAACAAUAUAUCCAACAUGUUGUGAUUAUGCUCCAGUGGUACUCGUCCCAUGGACUGGCUUACCGAACGUGAUCAUUUCCAGACCACAAACAUGAAGAACUCAACGACAAUCUCGUGAUCCUUACGGCGAUCACAACCCUGACCAACACUUGGUCUCAAACUCAACACAAUGGCCUUACUGCCAUUACCUUAGUGCAAAUCUCAGUGUGCAAAUUUAUUAAGUGUGGACCCAUGGUGUACCCUACUUUCAAGCGUGUCCGUAAUCGUGGACUCGGCUGUCGAUAGAUUAAUACACUUUGCAGAGGUAGCGCACUGGACCCACACUACGGAACCCAUGGCCUCGCACUCCCAUUCGGGUGGACCAACGGCAUUCCGACGGAACCACUUCAUUGUCAUGACACUCUCCUGGCCACUCCGACUCAAUCCCCAUCGGGCUAGUCCUGGGUGGCCCCGUGUCUACCUCAAGACACCUCAAACCACCGUUGUGGCAAUGAUCCACUCUGGGACCCAAACACUUAACUCAUCAACUGGCACACAAGGUUAUGCCUGCUUACCGGGCCAGGGUACAGCACACCCAUAACCUUCCCUAGAUGGAGGCACCGACCAGAGGCACGACAAUGAAACGCAUUAAGGUCGUCCCAUACCGGCAAAUGUGGUUGCACUGGGUAAAACUCGUUUCAGCGGCACCACGACCCGGUCAACAACAUAUUCAAGUUGAGUUAUUUAUCAGGUUCAACUUAAAGUGAAAGUAACCGAUGUCAUAAUGCCAUGCUAUGCAUCACUAACAUUUGCAUCAAAUAACCAUGAAAAUAACUAAAUCAACUACGCUCCCACGGAGCCAUCACCAACUCAAGAUACUUCUCUGGUUAAGAUCAAACCUCACUUAAACCAGAACCAUUUCUAGCAAUCUCAUCAUUUUUCAUCAUGCAAGAAUAAUAAUUAAACUAAUUAUUAACCUUCAUGAUCAUAUCAUUUUAUUAUUACUCAUAUCUAAGUUCUUGUUAGCUUAUCAGAAAGAUUCAUUUCAAACUUUAUGUAAAUCAUACAUACUUAACAUGACAAGAAUCUAACAGAAUAUAAUUAUCAUAAUAAUUAUUUAAAUGCAUGAAUAAUCAUAAGUUCGUGUGGAAAAAUCACAAAUAUUGAAGUGGCACUAUGAAAAUGUUGUUGUGGCUUGCCUUAGUGCUGAUGAGGUUCACAAACCUCCUGAUGAUCCUCAAGACAAGCUUGCUCUGCUGAAAAUAAAUAAAAUCACAAAAAGAAAACAUAAAGAAACCUUCUGAAAAUUACCAAAAAAAUCUAGACAGCAAGGAAAAAUCCCAUCUCUUGGGUGUUGUUAGAUUUUUGGACAAAGAACACAAUGCAAAAAGAAUCAAUGCAUUUGGACUUAUAGAUAAAAAUUUAUGGCGGUUUGAAGUUUCCUGGAUUUAAGUGAAUUUGAUUUAAAAAGAAAACAGACUGGGGGGUGAUGUCGAAGGAAUAUUGUUCACAGGAAUUUGAAACAUAGAGAAAUAUUGUUCACACAUGGUUCUCCAGAUUUUGGGGUUUUCACCCAAAAAUUGGGAAAACGUGAGAGGUGGGGAAUUUGGACCAACCCAGUGUGAAUAUGUGCCGCAGAAGAGCCCAACGCAAGGGAGUUGUCUAAAACCAGCUGCGGAGGAGUGUGAAAAUUCAGCGUACCAUUGGCCGGAGAGGCUGUCGACGGGACGCCGCCCACCGACAACCCACCCCGUAACUGGUGCGACUCGCCGUGGCCAGCAGGCCCGUGGAUCAUGUCGUCGAGUGCUAGAUCGGGGAGAUCCGGCCUUCUCGGUCCACCAUCUAUUGCGGCUAGCGUGGGAGGCCACUCGCUCUGGAGCAUGCCCAUCGUCUCCUGGAGCUUGGAGAGGCGGGAUUCGAGAUCAGGCUUCCAGGCCGUAAGCGCGUCCACCUGCGUGGACUGGAAGUCGAUCCGCGCUGAGAGGUCCUUGAUGUUAGCGCGGGUGUCCUUGUUGGCCUUGGUCAGGGUCUCCAUGAGCUUGUCGAGGUAUGACUUGAGGGCGGGAUCCAUGGUCGCGAGCAGCUGAUUGCGCUCGCUCGUUUGCCGCCGCGUCUCCAGGGCGUCAACGAAGGGUGGUGAUUGGUGACUGAUACCACGUGUUAAGUACUCUCUUAGUACCCCCAGAAUUGUACUAGAUCGAUUACAAGGAAAAGGUUACAAAUCUCUGGAGGAGGAAGAUGAACUAGGGAAGAAAGGGGAAUUAGGUUACAAGCCGCCGUCGUCCAGUCUGUUCCCAGCCAGGAUGCCCCUCCUCACCUGUUGCGUCCUCUCUUAUCAGUGGGUGGGUACGCUUCUCGGGUCAAACAGGUAGGAAACCCACUAGGGGCCCGUAAACUUAUGGCACGGUCGUCGCUCCCUCCUGGGCCGGCCUUGCUGGGCCACUUCUAUUCGCUGGCUCAGUGCUCCACCUGCAGGUGGUGUGCUAACACCCCCUCUUCCUUCAGAGUCGACUUGUCCCCAAGUCGUUGCAGCCGGGAAGCGAUGCCGCAGAUCUUCGAGAUCCUCCCAAGUGUCCGGAGUUGCUUGAGUGUUCUGCCAACGCACCAGGCCUUGUUCGCGCAUCUUACGGGAACCUCGAUGCCAUUGUUUUUCCAAGAUCUUCACAGGAAUGUUAACCUAUCAGUACAUCAUGGUAAUGAAGAUGAAGCAUUUGCACCUAGUGUUAAUGCCCGCUUGAGCUGGGAGACAUGGAAGACAAGGAAAAUGGAUGAUCCUUCCGGGAGCUGGAGCUCAUACGUGACUUCGUUCAUGCGCCUGAUGAUGGUGUAGGGCCCAAAGUACUUGAAGCUGAGCUUAUGAUUAGCUCUCCUUGCCACAGAGGUUUGAAUAUAUGGUUGCAACUUCAAGAAAACCUGAUCUCCCACUUGAAAUUCGCGAACCGAUCUAUUUUUAUUUGCUUGUGCUUUCAUGAUUUGCUUUGCCCGGACUAGGUGCUGUCGAAGGAUGUCUUGCAUUUGUUGACGCUCCUCGAGCCACUCAUUCAGCUUAGGUAAUGGAGUUGCAUGGUCAGGUACUAUCCCCAGCUGGCGCGGUUCCUGACCAUAUACCACCGAGAAAGGUGUCUUGCCCAAGGUAGAGUGAUAGGUGGAAUUGUACCAGAACUCCGCGAGGGCCAACCAACGACUCCAAUUAGUUGGGGUGCUAUGGACAAAGCAGCGCAGAUAGGUUCACACACAUUGAUUGACCCGUUCGGUCUGGUCGUCUGUUUGAGGGUGAUGAGAAGAGCUCAUUUUAAGUUCAAUCCCUUGUAGCUUGAAGAUUUCCUGCCAAACUUUGCUAGUGAAGAUGGCAUCACGGUUUGAGAUGAGGCCUUCGGGCAUCCCGUGCAACUUGUAAACUUGAUCAAUAUAUAAUUGGGCAAUUGUCUGAGCAGUGUGCGGGGGCUUUACUGGGAGGAAGUGCGCAUACUUGGAGAAGGUGUCAAUGACGACCAAUAUGCAAUUGUAAUUCCUGGAUUGGGGUAGACCUCCGAUGAAAUCUAGCGAGACUAGAUCCCAACAUCGCUUGGCUACUGGCAAGGGAUGUAGUAGCCCGGGGUAUUGAGCUCGGUCUGGCUUAGCUUGCUAACACACCUGGCAUGUUUGGACAUCUCUUUGAUCUGAUGCUUCAUACCCGGCUAGGCAAACAAGUGCUUGAUUCUGCGAUAGGUGGCUGGAAACCCGGAGUGUCCCCCUAUAGCGUUGUCAUGUAAAGCUUGCAUGCUGGAGUUUUGUGCUGUUGCCUAGCCAUACACUCCCUUUGAAUCUUACAAUACCCUUGGUCAGAGUGAACUUGCUAUCAGCGACCGGUGCCACGGCGAGCUGAGUGAUGAGUUGUUGUGUCUUGGGAUCGUUGUCGUACCCUUUGACAAUUUCCUGAAGCUAGGUUGGCUGACACACUGAAAUGGCAUGGAGGUGAGUAGAAUUCUCAACAGGUCGUCUUGACAGAGCAUCAGCAACACUGUUUUAUGUACCCUUGCGAUAGCAGAUCCAAUAUUGGAGCCCUAACAGCUUUGUGAAAGCUUUUUGUUGCCACGGGGUGUGAAGAUGUUGUUCUUCCAAGUGGACUAAGCUGCAUUGGUCUGUCUUAACCAUAAAUUCGCCAAACUGUAGGUAUGGAUGCCAUUGCUCGAUGACCAAGACAAUGGCCAGGUACUCCUUCUCAUAAGUGGACAAACCCUUAUUCUGUGGGCCCACCGCUUUGCUGAGGUACGCUAUCGGGUGCCCAUCUUGUUGCAAAACAACUCCCACUCCAUACUCGCAGGCGUCAGUCUCAAUUGUGAAUGGUUUUGUGAAGUCUGGGAGUGCUAGUGCUGGUGUUGUCGUCAGUGACGUUUUGAGAGCGUCGAAGGCUGAUUGGGUGGCCUCUGUCCACUGGAAUGGUGUAUUUUUGCACAAAAGGUUGGUGAGUGGACGAGCCAGCAUGCCAAAUUGCCGAACAAAUCAUUGGUAGUAUCCGGCCAAUCCUAGAAAGGCUCGAACCUCCUUGACAGAUGUUGGUACCAGCCACGCAGUCACUUGCUGAAUCUUGUCUGAAUCUAUCGAGACCCCUUUUGCAGAAAUGGUGUGACCGAGGUAUUUGAUUUCCUGUUGAGCAAAGGCACAUUUGGACCUCUUCACAUACCACUGGUCCCUUCGGAGGAGAGCUAGCACUUGCCUUAGGUGUUGCAAGUGCAAGGCAAAGGAUCGACUGAAGACUAGGAUAUCGUCAAAAAAACCAUUGCGCAGACCCGUAGGACUGGAUGCUGCGUCACAUUCAUAGCCCCCAAAAAUGUUGGAGGUGCUCCCCCGAGACCACAUGGCACCACUUUGAAUUCGAAAUAGCCCGAGUGCGUUUGAAAUGCAGUUUUGUAUUCCUCCCCUUCUGCCAAUCUGAUUUGGUGAUAGCCGGAGCGCAAAUCAAGCUUGGAGAACCAACACGCCCCUGCUAGCUCAUCCAAAAUAUCCUCAAUGACAGGCACGGGGUACUUGCUGAUGAUGGUCAUCGCAUUCAGCCUCCGAUAAUCAACGCACAUGCGCCAGGUACCGUCCUUCUUCUUGACCAGAAUAAUAGGAGAGGAGAAUGGGUUGCUGCUCCUUUGAAUGAUACCAGCCUUCAACAUUUCAGUGACUUGCCUUUCCACUUCUGUCUUCAAUUCUGGCUUGUGUCUGUACGCUCGUAUGUUGACCGGCUGGGCGCCUUGCAUCAAGGGGGUGGUGUGAUCACAUUCGUGCCGUGGUGGCAAUCCGGUCGGCUCCAGGAAUACAUCCUCAUAAUCUAACAACACUUGCACAAUCUAUGGUGGAAGUUAAGUACACUUGAGAUCGGUGAUAGUGUCAGAAUCUUGAGCAUAACAAAUGUGCACUGCAUAGGCCACCCCUUCUUGUUUUUCCAUACUUGCUAGCUGCACCGUAUUCAGAGUUUCACACUUAUGUGCUUGAGAUGUAACCCCCUGCAAUACAACCAUGAAUCCGUCAUGUUCGAUUUACAUGCACCAUUUCAGCCAAUCGAUGAGCAUGGGGAUGUGAUACUCCAGCCAAUCCAUCCCCAAUAUGACAUCGUAAGAUCCCAAAGGCAGCAAUCUGAAAUUGGUUGAAAACACAUGACCCUGGGCAAACCAAGAGCAGCCUAGUACUUCCUGAGUGCACCACAUUUCUGACCCAUUGGCUACAGCAACUUUGACAGACUUGGGCAUAGAUUGUACCCCUGUAGAUGAGAUGCUAAAUGUUGAGACACGAACGAGGCUGAACUACCGGAGUCCACAAGCAUAAGGACUUCACGCCCCUGGAGCCAGCCAUGUAAUUGUAAGCAACUGGGUGCUUCAGUUCCAGACACGGCAUUGAUAGAGAGCUGCCACACUUGCUCCCCUAUAUCUGUCUGCCCCUACUGUUGUGCAUUGGCCGCUGCCCCUUCUCCUUGAGCGUCCAAACUGAACAGGAUGAGCAUUUCCUCAAUCACGUGCAGUUUAACUGUCGGCGGGCAUACGUGAUCAUGACCCCAUCUCUCUCCACACUUGAAACACAACCCUUUGGCUCGACGAAAUUACACAGGGCUGUGAUUUUGGAUUGAUCACUCCCCGCGCAGGCGGCUUCAGUGUUGCAGCGAUCAUCUGCUGCUGGGGAGAUAGCCGGCGCCCGUGCUGCAGGAGGGGGCAACGGCAGAGGACCCGUUGAGCGAGUCCUCCCCAGAUAGGGUGCCCCUUCAUGGUUGUUGUACCACGGUCCCUUUUGUCCCUCCGCGACUUCCUCUUGCAGAAUCGCCAGGGCACAAGCGGUGUCCAGAUCCUUGGGUCGCUGCACCAUCACCACCGCACGGAUGUCUGUGCGCAGGCCCUCGAUAAACCUCGUCAAGAAAUACAGUGGGUGUACAGCAUCAGAAUAAGAAAUAAGAUGGUUUAUAAGGUUCUCAAAUUGCUCAAUGUAGUCAGAUACAGAGCUAGUCUGGCGAAGGGAGUAAAAUUGGCGGAUAAGUAGCUGAUGCUUAUCGCGGCCGAAUCGUGCACAUAGCAAAUUACAGAAAGCCUCCCAAUAUAGCGUGCUCAGUUUCCCCUGGAUCGACUGCAGCCAGAUGGCUGCCAGACCCGUGAAGUGUAAUGUGGACAUGGGGACGAAGUAGGACUCAGGAAUUUGAAACAUGGAGAAAUAUUGUUCACACAUGGUUCUCCAGAUUUUGGGGUUUUCACCCGAAAAUUGGGGAAACGCGGGAGGUGGGGAAUUUGGACCCAACCCAGUGUGAAUAUGUGUCGCAGAAGAGCCCGACGCAAGGGAGUUGUCUAAAACCAGCUGCGAAGGAGUGUGAAAAUUCAGCGUACCAUUGGCCGGAGAGGCUGUCGACGGGACGCCGCCCGCCGACAACCCACCCCGUAACUGGUGCGACUCGCCGUGGCCAGCAGUCCCGUGGAUCAUGCCGUCGAGUGCCGGAUCGAGGAGAUCCGGCCUUCUCGAUCCACCAUCUGUUGCGGCUAGCGUGGGAGGCCACCCGCUCUGGAGCAUGCCCACCGUCUCCUGGAGCUUGGAGAGGCGAGAUUCGAGAUCGGGCUUCCAGGCCGUAAGCGCGUCCACCUGCGCGGACUGGAAGUCGAUCCGCGCUAAGAGGUCCUUGAUGUCAGCGCGGGUGUCCUCGUUGGCCUUGGUCAGGGUCUCCGUGAGCUUGUCGAGGUAUGACUUGAGGGCGGGAUCCAUGGUCGCGAGCAGCUGAUGGCGCUCGCUUGUUUGCCGCCACGUCUCCAGGGCGUCAACGAAGGGUGGUGAUUGGCGACUGAUACCACGUGUUAAGUACUCUCUUAGUACCCCAGAAUUGUACUGGAUCGAUUACAAGGAAAACGUUACAAAUCUCUGGAGGAGGAAGAUGAAAUAGGGAAGAAAGGGGAAUUAGGUUACAAGCCGCCGCCAUCCAGUCUGAUCCCAGCCAGGAUGCCCCUCCCCACCUGCUGCGUCCUUUCUUAUCAGUGGGUGGGUACGCUGCUCGGGUCGAACAGGUAGGAAACCCACUGGGGGCCCGUGAACUUAUGGCGCGGUCGUCGCUCCCUCCUGUGCCGGCCUUGCUGGGCCACUUCUAUUCGCUGGCUCGGUGCUCCACCUGCAGGUGGUGUGCUAACAAUGUGAUAUGGUAUCUUGCAGAAAUGGAGCCUGACAAUGUAGUGGAAACCCCCACCGCCCGGUAAAACCCAUGAAAGGUUGUAAUUCUGGUUGAUUGUAGGAUUUGGCCCCAUCGAACGUGCUAUUGCAUACAAGUCCGUUGAAGGGAUGUAAUUUUGGAAUUUAAGUGGAUACUUGAUUGUAAGAUUGCUAUCUUUGGAGAAGAUAACACCAUGAGACUAGUGUAAAAAUAAUAAGCUUGUCAUGAACGGUAAAAUGCAGAGUCAUUUCCUACAAAUAGAUAGUCUCACCUCCAUUUGUUCAGUGCAUUGUCUGAAAGCUUGUGUCAGAAGAAACUGGUGAUGGAUAUGGCCCCUUGCCACUGACGAAGGUUGGCAUUGGUGUUGUGAAGAUCUCAGGUGUAAGCGCCAACUCUAUGCCAUUCACAACUGCAAAGCUCUUUUGGUGCACAUAUGGUGCAAAGAAAUAAUAAGAGAAUAAAUAUUGGAACGUUGCUCUCAAGGAAGGCGCAGUACAUCAGAAGAGUCGUACCUAGGGCUGCAAGAAAAGCUCGAGGCUCGUGAGCUGCUCGAGAUCGACUUGCAUUUUGGCUCGACUCGGGAUCGAUUUGAAAGGAAAUGAACUGAGUAUGAGCACUUUAUGUAUCUCGAUCGAGAAACGAGCUGAUCUUGAGCCAGUAUUGGCUCGCUCGGUUUUAGCUCGAUAGCUCGAUAUCAUAUAAGUAUAUUAAAUAAUUUUCAUGUUUAUUACAAAAAAAUGGUUAGUUUAUUACCAUAUAUAUCGUGUGCGAAUUUUUCUCCAUUUUACUUACUAACAAACAUGGAAGCUUAAUUAAGAGCGAAGAAAAUUUGGGCCUCAAUAUGGUGUGAGAUUAGCAGUAUGUUGACUAUCUUGUUAUUUUUGCCAAAAAUUGAGAGCAGAUGCACCUUUGUUUUCUUCUCUUGCUAGUUCGUCUAUGAUAUCUUAUCUCCAGUUGAUAAAGAAUAAGUCCAAAUUUACAGUGACUUCUUCUGUUGUGGCAUAUCUUAUGUGAAAAUGUGUCUCAAUUAUUUAGAAAAAAAUCAUCUUAUUUAGCUCAAAACUAGCUCGAGAUCGACUCGAGAUCGUUACAAGCUGAGCACGAGCCACUUUCUACAGCUCGACCUUGAGCUCCGCUUAAUUUGAGCUCGCUCGAAUUUUAGUAUGAAUUGAGCUGAGCCUAGUCCAACUCGCUCGAACUCGACUCGUUUGCAGCCCUAGUCGUACCAUGUGAGAGAUUGGAUUUGCUACAUGAUUUGGCAUUAGGCUAGAAAUUAGCUCACAUUGCCAUGUCCCUUGAAGCUCGCCAUCCCCCUGGGCGCCCCUAUAUAUUGUUUAACACGAGGUGGAAACAAUUUGCCCGCCGCAGUGAGUGUAUAAAAGACGCACUGCUUGAUUUCUUCAAUGAACAUACACGAGUCGCAGUGGCUGGAGCUGUUGAUUAAAUCCUCCUGGCAAAUAAAAAUGAUCGUGUAUAAAAAAUAUUAAUCAUAUAUUUCAAAUAAUGUUCAAUAUAUACAAAAAAAAGUCACUGAUAUAUACAAAAAAUGUACAAAUGUGUGUGAAACAAUAUAGUCAUCAAACACAAAGUAUUUGGAAAAGAUUUAACCUUUUUCAGCAAUUUGAACAUGUAUAAAAAAAUGUUCCUGAUGUAUAAUGAAAAGUUUAGAACGUGAAUUUGAAAAAUAAACAUUAAAACAUAAUAUAUUUUUUUUAAAUGAUCGUGCAGAAAAAAAAUGUUUUGUUUUUAUGGGAAGUAUCAAAAAAUGUUAAAUUGUAUCAUAAAAUGUUCCUGAUAUAUACAGAAAAUAUAUAAUGUUUAUGAAAAAAGUAGUCAUCAAACAUAUUUUAAAAAGUAAUAUGAAUCAUGCGUUUUAAAAAUGGUAAACAUAUAUAAAGAAAUGUUCAUGAUGUAUACAAAAAUGUAGAACAUUUAUGAAAAAAAGCCAUCAAAGACAUAUAUUUAGAAAAAUGUUAAUCAUGUAUUUACAAAAUCUUGUUAGUGUAUACGAAAAAUGUAUAGUGUGUAUAAANNNNNNNNNNNNNNNNNNNNNNNNNNNNNNNNNNNNNNNNNNNNNNNNNNNNNNNNNNNNNNNNNNNNNNNNNNNNNNNNNNNNNNNNNNNNNNNNNNNNNNNNNNNNNNNNNNNNNNNNNNNNNNNNNNNNNNNNNNNNNNNNNNNNNNNNNNNNNNNNNNNNNNNNNNNNNNNNNNNNNNNNNNNNNNNNNNNNNNNNNNNNNNNNNNNNNNNNNNNNNNNNNNNNNNNNNNNNNNNNNNNNNNNNNNNNNNNNNNNNNNNNNNNNNNNNNNNNNNNNNNNNNNNNNNNNNNNNNNNNNNNNNNNNNNNNNNNNNNNNNNNNNNNNNNNNNNNNNNNNNNNNNNNNNNNNNNNNNNNNNNNNNNNNNNNNNNNNNNNNNNNNNNNNNNNNNNNNNNNNNNAAAAAAAAAGAAAAUGAAGACCGAAGUAAACCAAUGCAAAAAAUGGAAACAGUGAAACCUGAGAACGAAAGAAAGAAAACGGAGAAAAGAAAUAAAGGAAAAGAGAAAAAAGGAAAAAAAACAACAGUGACCCAGAAAGAAACCAAGAAAAAGUUAUUACUCGCUAAUCAGCCCAGUUAAAAGCGCCGUCAGCCCAUAGCCCAUCCGACCGGACCUCGUCCAUUCACAACGGAGCUCACUCAGAUUCAGAAGCCAUCACCGUCACCGUCGCCGCCGCCGCCGCCGCCGCCGCCGUCCUCGCCUGCACGCCUCUCCUCGAGAUCCGCCUCCGCCUGUCCCCGUGCGCGGCCACGAUCUCACGACCCCGAGCCCUACCCUGCGCCUCCCGCCUCCGGUCUCCGAUCCUCCUCCUAGGUAUGUCAGCACGCACGCGCCCUUGCAUCCCGACGGUCAAUGGCUGAUUAGGACUGAUGUGCGCGUCUGCGCUUCUGCUAGAUCCAUUUCAAUGCCCGCUAUGAUUGUUUGUGCCAUGCGAAGAUCUUGGUCAGUUGAUGACCAGAGAAAGGCAGUUUCAGCUUCCCAUUUAGCGCUAUAUGCUGCUCAGUUGAUGUUCAUGUGUUAUAACUGAGACUUAGAAUCGUCAGCAUCUGAGGCAGUGGCAUAGCAAUAUAUCCAUAUGCAGCAGAUCUUAGAUGUAUACCUGGUGAAAGUAGAGGCAGCGGCAUAGCAGUAUAUGCAUGUUCAGAUCUUAGAUGUAUACCUGGUGAAACUAGAGGCGGUGGCCAGAAUUGUUUUCCUAGUGCACCCCUGAAACUCUAAGCUGAAUGUCGCUUCCCAGCGGCGUGUCGUGCUUUCUAAUCUACCUGCGUGUCAUGUCGUCUGAGAUCAUACCUUGCUUUGAAUUUACAUGAGAUAUACUACCCAUGUCUGAAUCUUCACUGGUUAUAAAUAUUAUGACCCUGCAUUAUUACAUCACCGAUUCCUAAUGCAGUUUGUUACUCCGUGUGAUCCUGUUGUAAGCAUUGGGGGCUCAUCGCAGCCUGACCGACUGUCUAAACUGAAUUAGAAUUUCACUAGUCUUUGUACCUGUUCCCCCUCUCUGCAUCUUACUUUAUGCUGAUUCCUCUGCUGGGCCAGCUCCAGAAUGGGUCUCCUCAGCAUCAUCAGAAAAAUCAAGCGCAAGGAAAAGGAGAUGCGUAUUCUCAUGGUGUAAGCGUCCUGCUCCAUUCCUUUUUUCGCCUUCUUAUUUUACCCCAGAUUCCUCCUAUCCAAACGCAUUAUUUAUUCUCGGUUCUUUGCUUGAUAUGUAUGCUUCUUGACUUUCAAGGUUUGUGCCUUUCAGUUCUUUGUUAAUCGUUAUUCUUAUUCUUGAUUGGUUUAUUUCACCGAUGCCAAAUUUACAGCGGCCUCGACAACUCGGGUAAGACGACAAUUGUGCUCAAGAUAAAUGGGGAGGACACCAGUGUCAUCAGCCCUACUCUUGGCUUUAAUAUCAAGACCAUCCAGUACCAAAAGUAUGUACUACAUUCUUUUGCUUAUUUAUCAAGUUAAAUAUGCCAUUACAAGAAACAUCGCUUCCAGCUGAUGUUAUAUUUGAUCAUUCCAUUUCCAACUCAAGCAAUUUAGGUUGAUGAUUCCAAUUUUAUAGCUGAUGUGAGAAAUUUCAGAGUAAUUUAGUUUGAUGAUUCCAAUUUUAUAGUACCUCUAGGGUAUGCCACUUGUAUUUAGUAUUAACUGAAGGCGUUCUGGAAGAUUUCAUAGUAAUUUUAGCACUUGUAAUAACUGUGUAUGCACUGCAUAGUACCACCUUUUUUCAACAACAACAACAACAAAGCCUUUAGUCCCAAACAAUUUUACCACCUUUUUUCAACAGCGUGAGAAUUUUUCAUGUCUACUUCCUCCGUCCCAAAAUAAGUGUCUCAAGCUUAGUACAACUUUGUACUAAAGCUAGUACAAAGUUAAGACACUUAUUUUGGGACGGAGGGAGUAUUAACCAUUGCAAGUAUGCCAUGCAUUCUGUUAUGUGAAGGGCACCUUAGCCUUCGUAGCUGCAUAAAAUGACUAGAGGAAUCAAUCUGGGCUUGUUCUCUGGAAGUUUAGUGAUUAAUCUAUAACUUCAACAGCUUUAGAUGAUUUCGUUUCAAUUACUGCUGGGGGAGAGUACUGUCGUGUAGUGCUUCAACUAAAAUCAACUGAAGCUGGUCCAGCAGUAUUCAAGGUGUGUAACUAGGUUCUCGGGGGAAAGCUAAGAGAGGAUGACAUCCACAGAUAUGUUUGGGAAUUUUGUAGGUUGUAUUGCUCCACAACCACAAACAUCAGUGUAGUUUGGCACCGAUGUUUUCAAGUGGAAAGAGCAGACGAUAAUAUUUAAAUUCAACACCGGCGCAGUGCAAUUUGGAUAACUUAUGAAUUGACAAUUUUAGAGACAGGGUAGGACAACGGUGACACCGAACAGUACUAUCAAGCAAUAUGAUGGUUUGUUUUAGCUUGUUUUUAAGUCUACGUCAGUCAGCAUCUGUUGUGUUUUCAGCCUACUGUGAAGCAUGCUGUGUGGAUGGUCGUAUUUUUAGCAUUUAAAGUAGGCAAUGCAAUUACUAAUCUGCAUUAAUCUGAAAAAGCACUAAACCACAUCUGUUGUGUUUUAGCUUGUUUUCAAGUGGGAAGAGGAGAUGAUAAUAUUUAAAUCCAACAGUGAUGCAGCGCAACUUGUAUAACUUAUGAUCAGAAAAUUGACAAUUUUUAACUGUGACACCAAAUGGUACAAUCAAGCAAACUGUGAUGGUUCACUUUAGCUUGUUUUUAGGUCUUCGUCAGUCGGCAUCUGUUGUGUUUUCAGCCUACUACGAAGCAAGCUGCAUGGGUGGUUGUACUUUUAGCAUUCAAAGUAGGCAAUGCAAUUGAUAAUCUGCAUUAAUCUGAGAAAGUAGUAAAUCACAUUGGUGAAAAUACAACAUAUUUGGAUUGAAAUUUUGACAGCUGCUUGAUGCUCAUUACUCAUGAAUCAUGGUGGUCAAAAACUCAAAAUGCAAUUAGUACAGCCAUAGGGAACAGCAGAACAAAUUCCGAAGAAUUGAUAAUGGCGCUGAUUGUGGCAGGUACUCGCUGAACAUAUGGGAUGUUGGGGGGCAGAAGACCAUCCGUUCGUAUUGGAGGAACUACUUCGAGCAGACUGACGGUCUAGUUUGGGCGGUUGACAGUUCCGAUGUCCGAAGGCUCGAUGAUUGCCGUGCUGAGCUCCACAAUCUUUUGAAAGAAGAGGUAAAUUGCCUAGUGAAUACCACUGACCUUCUGCUUUAGCGUGCUUUGCCUUGAAAUUUUGCUUCAAAUUACUUUGCUGAAUACUAGCAAUUGCUGUCUAGCAUCAGGAAACUCUUGGGACUGCAAAUUUGAUUACCUGGCAUGUUUGUGCUUAACUUAUGUGCUAUCUUGUUCAACUAUUUGGUGAUCCUUAAAGUAUUGCUUACAGAGACUGGCUGGAUCAUCGCUGUUAGUUUUCGCGAAUAAGCAGGACAUUCAGGGCGCUUUGAAGCCCGACGAAAUCGCCAAGGUAAAACACACUAUCACUAGUCCACUAGUAUGUAUAUAUGGACCCUCAUGUAUCGGUCAAUCUUCUUACCUGGAGUCGGAUGAUGUUAUGAUCCACUUGUGAUCUUCAAUUAAGGAAUAGCCAAAACCUCGGAAAAUAAUCCCAGCAAGCUUAUACAUCACAUACAUACUAGUUUGUGGUCUUUGCUCGAGAUGCUCUUUGUCUUCUUUAAUUGACAUGUUCAGUUGUGUCUUCUGAGUUCGAUGGUAACCGAGUUGAGUUUUUGGAUCCAGGUUCUGAACCUUGAAGCGAUGAACAAGGACCGGCACUGGAAGAUCGUCGGCUGCAGCGCCUACACCGGGGACGGCCUGCUCCAGGGCUUCGACUGGCUGGUCCAGGACAUCGCCUCCCGCAUCUAUGUCCUCGACUGAAACAACAACCAAACUCUGGACAUUUAGCCAUAUGCACCACUGUUAUUGGUUACACAGCCAUAGGCAUGCUGCUGCUUUGGCUGCCUUGUAACAUGUAUGUAAUUUGAUAAGUUUGAACCAAACCAUAGAUGACACUUUUGUUAUGCAAUCUCCUUGCUCAGUUGGAUAGCGUUGGAGACGGCAAGUUUUGCAUCUUAUUCAGCACAGAACACAAAAGAUCCUUGGAUUGAAGUUCCAUUAAUCAGAUCAAGUUUUAUUUCUAAGCAACUCGGGAACAUGAAGUUGAAAUCGCUAGUAAUCACAGAUCAGCAAAGCAAUGUAGCACAUCAUCAGAUCAAGAUUAUGUGAAAGACUAUGCUGAAUUGGCAGCAAGUUUUGCAUGCUUCACAGAGCAAUUCAAUCCUUAUAGCUUGAAGAAAGUUGAAUGGAUGCUUCAGAACAAGAGAAAUUUAAGGAACAAAGAGAGAGGAUAUUUCGCAGCUAUGACUUGCAUUUUCUUCAUCCAUUUAAACUUGUUCAAACAUAGGAUAUUCCAACAUCACAUCCCAAUCCAUGACAGAAGGGGAUUGCUGCAUCACCGACUGACCGACCGACCGACCGACUGAAAGAUAGUAACACAUGUUGUUUCUUCCUCGCGUAACCAGCUCUAAUUAACCCCGGACAGAGCGACACUCGAGCUCGCGAUCAAAAACACCACACACACGACGACUCAGACUGACACAGGAACACGACGACACCGAAGAUAACUUGCUAACGAAGACGACGACGACGACACGGUAGAUAGAUCGAUAACUGGGAGAUUCGAGGCUCAGUUCCUCCACUGGCCGCCGGAGUCGCCGCCGCCACCGCCGCGCUGGCCGCCGUAGCCGCCACCACCGCC